UACGGGGGGGGCAAGCGUUGUUCGGAAUUACUGGGCGUAAAGGGCGCGUAGGCGGUUUGUUAAGUUGGAUGUGAAAACUGUGGGCUCAACCCAUAGCCUGCAUCCAAUACUGACAGGCUAGAGUUCUGGAGGGGAUAGCGGAAUUCCUGGUGUAGCGGUGAAAUGCGUAGAUAUCAGGAGGAACACCGGUGGCGAAGGCGGCUCUCUGGGACGGUACUGACGCUGAGACGCGAAAGCGUGGGGAGCGAACAGG
rnacentral:rRNA from 1 species